UAAGAAAGAGAUAUGGCGAGUAACUCGAACUCAACAAUUAGGAAUACUUCUAUAACUUUGAAAAAUACAAUGAAGACAAAUUCGCGGGGAGAGACACGUGUGAAAAAGAGUCAGAGACCGCAUAAAGUUUAUGUCACAUAAUAAUUCGUUUAGAGGAAAGAGUUAAUCA